CCUACGGGUGGCUGCAGUGGGGAAUAUUGGACAAUGGGCGAAAGCCUGAUCCAGCCAUGCCGCGUGUGUGAAGAAGGCCUUCGGGUUGUAAAGCACUUUCAGUGGGGAAGAAAGCCUUGGGGCUAAUACCCUCGAGGAAGGACAUCACCCACAGAAGAAGCACCGGCUAACUCCGUGCCAGCAGCCGCGGUAAUACGGAGGGUGCGAGCGUUAAUCGGAAUUACUGGGCGUAAAGCGCGUGUAGGCGGUCUGAUAAGCCGGUUGUGAAAGCCCCGGGCUCAACCUGGGAACGGCAUCCGGAACUGUCAGGCUAGAGUGCAGGAGAGGAAGGUAGAAUUCCCGGUGUAGCGGUGAAAUGCGUAGAGAUCGGGAGGAAUACCAGUGGCGAAGGCAGCCUUCUGGACUGACACUGACGCUGAGGUGCGAAAGCGUGGGUAGCAAACAGGAUUAGAUACCCGAGUAGUC
rnacentral:rRNA from 1 species